rnacentral:rRNA from 1 species
AUUGAACGCUGGCGGCAGGCCUAACACAUGCAAGUCGAGCGGAUGAGGGGAGCUUGCUCCUGGAUUCAGCGGCGGACGGGUGAGUAAUGCCUAGGAAUCUGCCUGGUAGUGGGGGAUAACGUCCGGAAAUGGGCGCUAAUACCGCAUACGUCCUGAGGGAGAAAGUGGGGGAUCUUCGGACCUCACGCUAUCAGAUGAGCCUAGGUCGGAUUAGCUAGUUGGUGGGGUAAAGGCCUACCAAGGCGACGAUCCGUAACUGGUCUGAGUGGAUGAUCAGUCACACUGGAACUGAGACACGGUCCAGACUCCUACGGGAGGGAGCAGUGGGGAAUAUUGGACAAUGGGCGAAAGCCUGAUCCAGCCAUGCCGCGUGUGUGAAAAAGGUCUUCGGAUUGUAAAGCACUUUAAGUUGGGAGGAAGGGCAGUAAGUUAAUGCCUUGCUGUUUUGACGUUACCAACAGAAUAAGCACCGGCUAACUUCGUG